AUCACUUCCACAUCCUGUAAAAACAGAACCUACUUCGUCCUGAGGCUCAAACAGAAUUCUGCUUUCUUUUCAAAACAUUUUCUUUUUUAGUUUGAAGGCUUUUUAACAACUGUUAGUGUACAGAUGAUUUGGAUAUUAAAAUGUUUUUUUCCUGCCUCUAAAUGGAAAAUUAUCCUGCCAUUCAUGAUGUUGUUCUGCUACCGUGGAUCCUGUCAUGGGGAGAGGGACAAGAAAAUCAAGCAGGAGGGGACCAACACACCAUACAGCUCCUCAAGGAUAGAAGACUGCAC